rnacentral:rRNA from 1 species
AAUUUGGAGAGGAUGCUUCGGGCGUGGCCCCCNUCUAAGUGCCCUGGAACGGGCCGUCAUAGAGGGUGAGAAUCCCGUCUGGGAUGGGUGGUCCCGCCCGUGUGAAGCUCCUUCNAANAGNCNAGUUGUUUGGGAAUGCAGCUCUAANAGGGUGGUAAAUUUCAUCUAAAGCUAAAUAUUGGNCGGANACCGAUAGCGCACAAGUAGAGUGAUCGAAAGAUGAAAAGCACUUUGAAAAGAGAGUUAAACAGCACGUGAAAUUGUUGAAAGGGAAGCGUUGGNNACCAGACUCGCCCGGGAGGGCUCAGCCGGCACGUGUGCCGGUGCACUCCCCCCCGGGCGGGCCAGCGUCGGUUUGGGCGGUCGGUCAAAGGYCCCGGGAAUGUAGCACCCUCCGGGGUGCCUUAUAGCCCGAGGCGCCAUGCGACCUGCCCGGACCGAGGAACGCGCUUCGGCUCGGACGCUGGCGUAAUGGUUG